GACGAACGCUGGCGGCGUGCUUAACACAUGCAAGUCGAACGGAAAGGCCCGGCUCUUGCGGGGUGCUCGAGUGGCGAACGGGUGUGUAACACGUGAGUAACCUGCCCUUGACUUUGGGAUAACUCCAGGAAACGGGGGCUAAUACCGGAGAGGAGCUCCUGCAGCAUGGGGGGCGUUGGAAAGCUUAGGCGGUGGGGGAUGGACUCGCGGUUUAUGAGCUUGUUGGGGGGGUAGUGGCUUACCAAGGGUUUGACGGGUAGCCGGCCUGAGAGGGUGGCCGGCGACCUUGGGCCUACGGUACGGCCCAGACUCCAACGGGGGGCAGCAGUGGGGAAUAUUGCACAAUGAGGGGAAGCCUGAUACAACAGCGCCGCGUGCGGGAUGACGGCCUUCGGGUUGUGAACCGCUUUGGCCUGUGACGAAGCGUGAGUGACGGUAAUGGGUAAAGAAGCACCGGCUAACUACGUG
rnacentral:rRNA from 1 species